rnacentral:rRNA from 1 species
UACGGGGGGAGCAAGCGUUGUUCGGAUUUACUGGCGUAAAGGGCGCGUAGGCGGUCAGCACAAGUCAGUUGUGAAAUCUCCGGGCUUAACUCGGAAAGGUCAACUGAUACUGUGCGACUAGAGUGCAGAAGGGGCAACUGGAAUUCUCGGUGUAGCGGUGAAAUGCGUAGAUAUCGAGAGGAACACCUGCGGCGAAGGCGGGUUGCUGGGCUGACACUGACGCUGAUGCGCGAAAGCCAGGGGAGCGAACAGG